AGUCACUGACAUUACGAUACCCCCGUAGUCCCAGCCGUAAACUAUGCGCGUUAGGUGUACUGGUGACCACGAGUCACCGGGGUGCCGAAGGGAAACCGUGAAACGUGCCGCCUGGGAAGUACGGUCGCAAAGGCUAGAAACUUAAAGGAAUUGGCGGGGAGCACCACAACGGGUGGAGCCUGCGGUUUAAUUGGACUCAACGCCGGAAAUCUCACCGGAUAGGACAGACAUAUGAUAGUCGGGCUGAAGACUCUACUUGAUGAUCUG
rnacentral:rRNA from 1 species